UGGUUCCUGAGAGUAUAUAUUCUGCAUUUGUAUAGCACCUGCAGUCUGUGCCCAUCUGAGUGUUGUCAAUCCUGUGCAAGAGGCACAUUAGGCUUUUCUUUGUACAAACGAGCAAAGUGGCCCAGAGGAUUAAGUGACUUUUCUUAGGUUGUAUGGGACAGUGGGUGGUAGAGCCAGAUUUAAAUUGGAACUAUUGCCUUGUUUCCUGGCAUAAGCUAUGUCAUAAUGAUGACAGGUCUUUAAAAAACAAUGUUUUAGCCUUGUAACAAAUGAACUAAAGGAGAAAUGGGGAGAAGCUGAGGCUGCCAAGGUGCUGCUGCACGAGCUCACUGAUUCCCCUGCUGGAAGGAGCCUGAGGGAGGGGUUAAGUCACACCUGAACACUGUUCCUGGUGUAGGAAUAACAUGGCCUGUUGCUUUAAAUCGGUAUGAUUUCUCCGGAUGAAGGAAACCAGGCAAGUGAGUCAACCUGUGUUGGCUUUCAUGCCCUCUAAGGAUGUUGUCCCCCCAGGGAGGGUAGGAAACUACAGGAGAGAAGGUCACAGAAAGAUAAGGAAAGAGAGAAAGAGAUCCUUCCAAAGCUGGGGCAAUCUGGAAGUCUAACAAAUCACAACAGCCUGUUGAAGCUGUUGCAAAUGUGACUGCAGAAUCCCUGCCUGUAAUCCCGACAUCAGCAAAUGUUCCCGUGUUCAAAAAGGAUGGAUCCUGUAUUGUCCCCAGCUCAGGACAUACUUGAAAAAGUGUGCAGAGGUGUGCAGAGCUCAGGACUCAGUCGUGUCUGAGGAUACAAACAAGGGCCGGUACACAGCCCAGGCCUGCCUGCUUUCACGUCGGGGCCUCGCCUCAUUUCAGGUUCAGAGGAAGUUCAUACACGCAGCCCCCUUCGAAGAGAACCUCCACACGGGCAUUGCCCUGUGUGGCAGGAGAGAACCUCGGGGCAGCUGGGGCACAUUUCCUGCGAUACCGUGACCACUCUUCCAAGGAGCAGAAUUCAGUGAUUCAUCACUUACAUACAGCACCCAGUGCUCAUCCCAGAGCAAGGAGAGGGAAGACUGGAAUGGGAAUGGCAGACAAGGCUUCCCAGAGGAGGAGGGAAACAGGAGGAGGUAAUGAGGGGUCUGCCUCAAGCGAGGAGUGGCGUGCAGUGGCUUUGGAAGAAUGGCUGUGUGGGAGACCCACUGGGAAGCUCAGUGGUGGAGAAUCGACUUCAGGAUGUGGGGUCAGAGUCUGACAAGCUGAGAGAUUCUUUCUGUAGUUUUGGUAAGUAAAUAAAUUUGGUAACAGCAAUAUGGCAGUAUAUAUGUAUGCAUGUAUCUAGAACUUCAAACAGCCUUCCUCUUCCCCUUUCCUUCCCUCUUAGUCCUAAACUGUGGCAGGACUCAGCCCAGCUCUACAUGGGUGGGGGAAGCAGGGGCUGCAUGCUUGGAGCAGGGCAAGAAAGGAACGCAUGAAGGGGGCGGGCAGGACGUGAGAACGGUCAUUGUCAUUGCAGGCAGGGUGAUGGGAGGUCAGUACCUGGAAAGCCCAAGCUGGGUAAGAGGGCAUGGAGGGGCGUGAAGCCCACAUCAGCAGAGGGUGGCAAUGUGUGGGAACGGGGAUGGUGACAGUGGCUUGGCAUGGGCUGUCAAGCCUGUGUGUAGAGGGGGCCCGGAAGCUCUCUUUGCUCAUGUGUACCCUUGUGUGUUAUUACUGCACACACAUGCAGUAACCCCCAGUUCUGUCCUGGGAGGCCUGAUAGUGGCACCCCAGGGCAGUAAGCACACCUACAGCCCAGAUCUUAGCUUUUAAACACCAUUCUCCACAGAAGAAAUCAGAAUGCCUUGGGGGCUGGGGGUGGGGAGAGGUUGGCUUCAGGUCUGAGGCAGGAAAAAUAGGAGAUGAAAUGAAACAUCUAGUUGAACCAGAAAGCAAGAAUAUGCUUCAAGAAUAAUGAGGAAAUGUAAAAAAGACACAGAAGCCAGUUUGAAGAGACUCCCACAGGCCAAAUCUGAGGCAUUCUGACACCAAAAUAAUGACAGUAAAGACUUACAAUGAAUUGAAUAAAAUAGGCGUCCGUACUAAUAUAAACAAACAGAUUACUUGGAAAUUUGUUGGGGAAUGCAGUGUUCCAUAGUCUCAAAGUACCUCCUUACAAAAUACUUAAUAAUUACAAAGGACGAGAGAAAGCUUCACAGUGGGGAAACCCUGAAGAUGCCACUGGGGUGAAGUGGUCAGAGGGAAUGGACAUCAUCUGUGGUGGACAGACAAGUGGGGUGCUGCCUGCUGGAAUGUUCCAUGAGCACAGCAUUGCUUCUGUGAUCACUCCUGCCAAAGGGCCGUUGCCUGAAACUAGCUGUGAGGUUUUUUCAGACAAAACAAAUUACAAAAUAACUGGCUUGUAGCCUGCAGAGGUGUCAAGGUCAUGAAAAUCAAGGAAGGAAUGAGAACCGUUUCACAGUGAGGGAGAGUGAAGACAACUGACUGGAUUCUGAACUUGCGCUUUUAAAAAAAUUUUUUAGCGUUUAUUUAUUUUUGAGGUGGGGAGGGGCAGAGAGAGAGGGAGACACAGAAUCCGAAGCAGGCUCCAGGCUCCGAGCUGUCGGCACAGAGACCCAUGUGGGGCUCGAACUCAUGAGCCGCAAGAUCAUGACCUGAGCUGAAAUUGGGCGCUUGACCAACUGAACCACCCAGGUGCCCCUGAAGUGGUGCUUUUAUUGUAAGGGGCAUUAUCAAGGCAAUUGACAAAGCAGGAGUGGGGUCAAGGGUUAGAUGAUAGUGUAUCAACAUACAGAUUUUUUUUUUUUUUUGGUUCUCAUAGGAGAUUUUAUUAAUUAAUGGAAAAAUCCAGGGAGCCAGGGUAUCUGUAUUCUCAUUUACUUUCUAUUUAUUUAUUUUUAAAAUUGAGGGCAUAAUGGACAUGUAACAUUAGUUUCAGGUGCACAACAUUAUGAUUCAAUAUUUGCAUAUAUUGUGAAAUGGUCACAAAAAUAAAUCUAGUUAACAUCUCUCACCCCACAUAGUCACAAUUUUUUCUUCUUGUGAUAAGAAUUUUUAAGAUCUACUCUCUUAGCAACUUUCAAAUAUACAAAUAUGGUAUUAUUAACUAUAGUCCUCUUGGUAUAUAUCACCAUGACAAUUAUUUUAUAACUGGGAUUUUUUAAUAACAAAUUAUAAUUCUUUUAUAACUAGAACUUUUUGCCUUUGAACCCCCUUUACCCAUUUUUCCCGUUCUUCACCCCUGCAGCCACCAGUCUGUUCUCUGUAUCAAAGAGCUUGGUUUUUAUUGUUGUUUUUAAUUCCACAUAUAAGUGAGAUCAUACAGUAUUUGUCUUUCCCUGACUUAUUUCACUUAACAUAAUGCCUUCAAGAUCCAUCCAUGUUGUUUCAAAUGGCUGAAUGAUAUUACAUUGUGUGUAUAUACCAUGUAUUCUUUUCUUUUUUUAAUCUCAUCUCUCUCUUAACAUACAGUUAACAUCUCUUUCUCUUAACAUACAGUAGUAUAUUAGUUUCAGAUGUACAAUCUAGUGAUCCAACAAUUCCAUAUAUCAGUGCUCAUCACAGUAAGUGUUCUCUUAAUCCCCUUCACCCAUUUCACCCACCCUCUUCCCCUCUGGUAACCAUCAGUUUGUUCUCUAUAUUAAAGAGAGAUAUAUACUAUUGUUCUCUCUAUGGUCUGUUUUUUGGUUUGUCUCUUUUCUGUUUGGUUUCUUAAAUUCCACAUAUGUGAAAUCGUAUGGUAUUUGUCUUUCUCUGACUUACUUAGGUUUAUACUGUCUACAUCCAUCCAAGUUGUUGCAAAUGGCAAGAUUAAUUCUUUUUUAUGGCUGAGUAAUAUUCCAUUACACACAUGCGCACACACACACACACACACACACGCACCAUAUCUUCUUCUAUCAAUGGACAUUUGGGCUGCUUCUGUAAUUUGGCUGUUGUAAAUAAUGCUGCAAUCAACAUAGGGGUGCAAAUGCCUUUUCUAAUUAGUGUUUUGUUUUCUUUGGGUAAAUACCCAGUAGUGGAAUUACUAGGUUGUAUGGUGAUUCAUUUUUAAUAUUUUGAGGAACCUCUAUAUUCCACAGUGGCUGGACCAGUUUGCAUUCCUACCAACAGUGCAUGAGGGUUCCAAUUUUUCCACAUCCUCGCCAACACUUGUUGUUUCUUGUCUUCUUGAUUUUAGCCAUUCUGACAGGUGUGGGGUAAUAUCUCACUGUGGUUUUGAUUUGCAUUUCCCUGAUGAUGAGUGACGUUGAUCGUCUUUUUAUGUGUCUGUUGUCCAUCUGUAUGUCUUCUUUGGAGAAAUGUCUGUUCAUGGCUGAAUUUUUUUUUUUUUUUUAUUUUGAGAGAGAAUGUGAGUGGGGGAGGGGCAGAGAAAGAGGCAGAAUCUCAAGCAGGCUCCAUGCUGUCAGAACAGAGCCCAUGCAGGGCUUGAACUCAUGAAACUGUGAGAUCAUGACCUGAACCGAAAUCAAGAGUUGGACGCUUAACCAACUGAGCCAUCCAGGUACCCCCAUAUCUUCUUAUUUUUAGAUUGGAUUAUUUUUUGGGUGUUGAGUUUUAUAUAAGUUAUAUUUUGGAUACUAACCCUUUAUUGGAUAUGUCAUUUGCAAGUGUCUUCUGUUCACUAGGCUUUUAGUUUUGUUGGUUGUUUCCUUUGCUGUGCAGAAGCUUUUUGUUUUUAUGUAGUCCCAAUAGUUUAUUUUUGCUUUUCUUUCCCUUGCCUCAGGAGAUCUAUCUAGAAAAAUGUUGCUAUGGCCAAUGUCAGAGAAAUUACUGCCUGUGCUCUCUUCUCUCUCUCUCUCUCUCUCUGUCUCCCUCCCUCCCUCCUCUCUUUUUAAGGUUUCAGGUCUCACAUUUAGGUCUUUAAUUCAUUUUGAGUUUAUUUUUGUGUAUGGUGCAAAAAAAGUGGUCCAGUUUCAUUCUUUUGCAUGUAGCCAUCUAGUUUUCCCAAUACUAUUUGUUGAAGAGACUUUUUCCCAUUGCAUAUUCUUCUUUGUUGAAGGUUAAUUGACCAUAUAAAUGUGGGUGUAUUUCUGGGCUUUCUAUUCAGUUCUGUUGAUCUAUGUGUUUAUCUUUGUGCCAGUACCAUACUGUUCUAAUUACUACAGCUUUGUAGUAUAUCUUGAUAUCUGGGAUUGUGAUACUUCUGGUUUUAUUCUUCUUUUUCAAGAUUGCUUUGGCUAUUCAGGUUCUUUGUGGUUCCACACAAAUUUUAGGAUUAUUUUCUCUAGUUCUGUGUAAAAUGCUGUUAGUAUUUUGAUAGGGUAUACCAUAUUUUCUUUAUCCAUUUAUUCAUCAAUGGGCACUGAGAUUGUUUCCAUAUCUUGGCUAUUGAAAAUAACGCUGCAAUGAACAUGGGAAUGCAUAUAUCUUUUUGAACUAGUGUUUUCAUUUUCUUUGGAUAAAUACCCAGAAGUGGAAUUACUGGGUCAUAUGGUAGUUAUAUUUUUAAUUUUUUAAGGACCCUCCAUACCGUUUCCGUAGUGGCUGCACCAAUUUACAUUCCUUCCAAAAGUGCAUGAGGUUUCCCUUUUCCUCACAUCCUCACCGACACUUGUUUAUUUUCUUUUUGAUAAUAGUUAUUCUAACAGGUGUGAACUGAUAUUUAAUUAUGGUUUUGAUUUGCAUUUUCCUGAUGAUGAGUGAUGUUGAGCAUCUUUUCAUGUACCUCUUGGCCAUCUCUGUGUCUUCUUUGGAAAAAUGUCUAAUGUAGAUCCUCUGCCCAGUUUUAAGUAAGAUUUUUUUUUUUAUUAAAAAUUUUUUUUUAAUAUGGGGCACCUGAGUGGCUCAGUCGGUUGAGUGACCGACUUCGGCUCAGGUCGUGAUCUCAAGGUUUGUGAGUUUGGGCCCUGCGUCGGGCUCUGUGCUGACAGCUCAGAGCCUGGAGCCUGCUUCAGAUUCUGUGUCUCCUCUCUCUCUGCCCCUCCCCGACUCAUGCUCUGUCUC